rnacentral:rRNA from 1 species
GGUUAAGCGACUAAGCGUACACGGUGGAUGCCCUGGCAGUCAGAGGCGAUGAAGGACGUGCUAAUCUGCGAUAAGCGUCGGUGAGGUGAUAUGAACCGUUAUAACCGGCGAUUUCCGAAUGGGGAAACCCAGUGUGAUUCGUCACACUAUCAUUAACUGAAUCCAUAGGUUAAUGAGGCGAACCGGGGGAACUGAAACAUCUAAGUACCCCGAGGAAAAGAAAUCAACCGAGAUUCCCCCAGUAGCGGCGAGCGAACGGGGAGGAGCCCAGAGCCUGAAUCAGUGUGUGUGUUAGUGGAAGCGUCUGGAAAGGCGCGCGAUACAGGGUGACAGCCCCGUACACAAAAAUGCACAUGCUGUGAGCUCGAUGAGUAGGGCGGGACACGUGGUAUCCUGUCUGAAUAUGGGGGGACCAUCCUCCAAGGCUAAAUACUCCUGACUGACCGAUAGUGAACCAGUACCGUGAGGGAAAGGCGAAAAGAACCCCGGCGAGGGGAGUGAAAAAGAACCUGAAACCGUGUACGUACAAGCAGUGGGAGCACAGAGCAAUCUGUGUGACUGCGUACCUUUUGUAUAAUGGGUCAGCGACUUAUAUUCUGUAGCAAGGUUAACCGAAUAGGGGAGCCGAAGGGAAACCGAGUCUUAACUGGGCGUUAAGUUGCAGGGUAUAGACCCGAAACCCGGUGAUCUAGCCAUGGGCAGGUUGAAGGUUGGGUAACACUAACUGGAGGACCGAACCGACUAAUGUUGAAAAAUUAGCGGAUGACUUGUGGCUGGGGGUGAAAGGCCAAUCAAACCGGGAGAUAGCUGGUUCUCCCCGAAAGCUAUUUAGGUAGCGCCUCGUGAAUUCAUCUCCGGGGGUAGAGCACUGUUUCGGCAAGGGGGUCAUCCCGACUUACCAACCCGAUGCAAACUGCGAAUACCGGAGAAUGUUAUCACGGGAGACACACGGCGGGUGCUAACGUCCGUCGUGAAGAGGGAAACAACCCAGACCGCCAGCUAAGGUCCCAAAGUCAUGGUUAAGUGGGAAACGAUGUGGGAAGGCCCAGACAGCCAGGAUGUUGGCUUAGAAGCAGCCAUCAUUUAAAGAAAGCGUAAUAGCUCACUGGUCGAGUCGGCCUGCGCGGAAGAUGUAACGGGGCUAAACCAUGCACCGAAGCUGCGGCAGCGACGCUUAUGCGUUGUUGGGUAGGGGAGCGUUCUGUAAGCCUGUGAAGGUGUGCUGUGAGGCAUGCUGGAGGUAUCAGAAGUGCGAAUGCUGACAUAAGUAACGAUAAAGCGGGUGAAAAGCCCGCUCGCCGGAAGACCAAGGGUUCCUGUCCAACGUUAAUCGGGGCAGGGUGAGUCGACCCCUAAGGCGAGGCCGAAAGGCGUAGUCGAUGGGAAACAGGUUAAUAUUCCUGUACUUGGUGUUACUGCGAAGGGGGGACGGAGAAGGCUAUGUUGGCCGGGCGACGGUUGUCCCGGUUUAAGCGUGUAGGCUGGUUUUCCAGGCAAAUCCGGAAAAUCAAGGCUGAGGCGUGAUGACGAGGCACUACGGUGCUGAAGCAACAAAUGCCCUGCUUCCAGGAAAAGCCUCUAAGCAUCAGGUAACAUCAAAUCGUACCCCAAACCGACACAGGUGGUCAGGUAGAGAAUACCAAGGCGCUUGAGAGAACUCGGGUGAAGGAACUAGGCAAAAUGGUGCCGUAACUUCGGGAGAAGGCACGCUGAUAUGUAGGUGAAGUCCCUCGCGGAUGGAGCUGAAAUCAGUCGAAGAUACCAGCUGGCUGCAACUGUUUAUUAAAAACACAGCACUGUGCAAACACGAAAGUGGACGUAUACGGUGUGACGCCUGCCCGGUGCCGGAAGGUUAAUUGAUGGGGUUAGCGGUAACGCGAAGCUCUUGAUCGAAGCCCCGGUAAACGGCGGCCGUAACUAUAACGGUCCUAAGGUAGCGAAAUUCCUUGUCGGGUAAGUUCCGACCUGCACGAAUGGCGUAAUGAUGGCCAGGCUGUCUCCACCCGAGACUCAGUGAAAUUGAACUCGCUGUGAAGAUGCAGUGUACCCGCGGCAAGACGGAAAGACCCCGUGAACCUUUACUAUAGCUUGACACUGAACAUUGAGCCUUGAUGUGUAGGAUAGGUGGGAGGCUUAGAAGUGUGGACGCCAGUCUGCAUGGAGCCGGCCUUGAAAUACCACCCUUUAAUGUUUGAUGUUCUAACGUUGACCCGUAAUCCGGGUUGCGGACAGUGUCUGGUGGGUAGUUUGACUGGGGCGGUCUCCUCCUAAAGAGUAACGGAGGAGCACGAAGGUUGGCUAAUCCUGGUCGGACAUCAGGAGGUUAGUGCAAUGGCAUAAGCCAGCUUGACUGCGAGCGUGACGGCGCGAGCAGGUGCGAAAGCAGGUCAUAGUGAUCCGGUGGUUCUGAAUGGAAGGGCCAUCGCUCAACGGAUAAAAGGUACUCCGGGGAUAACAGGCUGAUACCGCCCAAGAGUUCAUAUCGACGGCGGUGUUUGGCACCUCGAUGUCGGCUCAUCACAUCCUGGGGCUGAAGUAGGUCCCAAGGGUAUGGCUGUUCGCCAUUUAAAGUGGUACGCGAGCUGGGUUUAGAACGUCGUGAGACAGUUCGGUCCCUAUCUGCCGUGGGCGCUGGAGAACUGAGGGGGGCUGCUCCUAGUACGAGAGGACCGGAGUGGACGCAUCACUGGUGUUCGGGUUGUCAUGCCAAUGGCACUGCCCGGUAGCUAAAUGCGGAAGAGAUAAGUGCUGAAAGCAUCUAAGCACGAAACUUGCCCCGAGAUGAGUUCUCCCUGACUCCUUGAGAGUCCUGAAGGAACGUUGAAGACGACGACGUUGAUAGGCCGGGUGUGUAAGCGCAGCGAUGCGUUGAGCUAACCGGUACUAAUGAACCGUGAGGCUUAACCUU